UACGUAGGGGGCAAGCGUUGUCCGGAAUCAUUGGGCGUAAAGAGCGUGUAGGUGGCUCGGUAAGUCCGCUGUGAAAGUCCAGGGCUCAACCCUGGAAUGCCGGUGGAAACUGUCGAGCUCGAGUCCGGAAGAGGCGAGUGGAAUUCCCGGUGUAGCGGUGAAAUGCGCAGAUAUCAGGAGGAACACCAAUGGCGAAGGCAGCUCGCUGGGACGGUACUGACACUGAGACGCGAAAGCGUGGGGAGCAAACAGG
rnacentral:rRNA from 1 species